rnacentral:lncRNA from 1 species
GGUAUGAGGAGGUAAUUAAUAGACAAAGUUUAAACAUGAGUGUGGUCUUGGAUCCAUCUUUUCUGGGUUGGAAUGCCAAUUCUUUCAGCUUUUACUACCUGGGAAACUCUAGCCAAGUUACUCAAACAUUAUUUUCCCAACUGAAAAUAUAGAUUGCCUUGUUAAGUAAGUUAUUGGAUGUUUCUUUUUUUUUUUUUUUUUUUUGAGACGGAGUUUCACUCUUGUUACCCAGGCUGGAGUGCAAUGGCGCGAUCUUGGCUCACGGCAACCUCCGCCUCCUGGGUUCAGGCAAUUCUCCUGCCUCAGCCUCCUGAGUAGCUGGAAUUACAGGGAUGCGCCACCAUGCCCAGCUAGUUUUUUGCAUUUUUAGUAGAGACGGGGUUUCACCAUGUUGACUAGGAUGGUCUUGAUCUCUUGACCUCAUGAUCCACCCGCCUUGGCCUCCCAAAGUGCUGGGAUUACAGGCGUGAGCCACCGCGCCCAGCCGUUGAGCCACCGCGCCCAGCCGUUGAGCCACCACGCCCGGCCGUUGGAUGUUUCUAAAGUCAUUUCUAUGCCUGAGACAGAAUGACAAGCAUGUCACUACAGCUGUACCUGGCCCUGUGCUUGGGAUACCCUGUGUAUGGCUGGUGUGUUGCUUUCGUGCUCCAACAGUUUUUUCCUACUGGAUUCUUAAAAAACAAACUGGGAGUUAGUUAUUGACAGCCCCCAAAAAGCAUAUCCUUAGGGAUGUUCUGGGCUGGCAGCUGGGAUGGGGGCCUACUAGCCAUAGCUUGGACUCAGACACAAGUUCCAUGUCUUCAGAGCCAGCAGCCACCUGUUCCCACAGACUCUGCCAUGAUUCCUCACACAAAUAUGGAUACAGGGGAAGACAGAAGUCCUGGAAGGCAAUCUACCCAGCUCUUCCCUUCAUAA